GUUGGGGGGGGAGGGGCAUAAAGUGCUUUCUUGUCUGGGGUAACAGUUGACCAUCUCAGAUUCCAGCCACCCUCCAAGUCCCCAUGGCUGAAGAGAAAGAAACUGAUGCCAGGUGUGGUGAAAGGGCAGCUGAAAGUCCACAUGGCCCGUGGCAGAGCCAAGCAUCGUAACUCAGAUGUCCAUGCCCAGUCGGGUACCCUUUGAUUUUGCUCAGCAAGGAAACCCUCGGCAUGUUGCAUCAGGUCUACUGGAAGAUUCCAAAACAGUGGAAAGCAGAGCCCUGGCCCUCAGGAGUGAAAAGCUAUGUGGUCCCCCAAAAGCAAGAAUAGCAGUCAUCUAACUGAUGAGUAGGGAAAUAAAAUGUGGUCUGGCUGUAGGGUGAAAUAUUAUCCAGCCAUGAAGAGGAACAAAGGCCUGACGUGUUACUGCGUGGACCAACCUUGGAAAGAUAGUGAAGGCUGCCCCUGAGCUGAAUCUCCACCACAUAUUUGAACCCCUAUGAGGACGCAAGCAUUCCUCCAAGGGACCUGGCACCACGUGGCUCCAGAACGCUUGGCCUUUGGAAGUAGAAAACCUUUCUCAGUUCAGUGUCACGCCGUAGGAAAGAACAUGACUCCACAGAGGCUGCUUUCUCUGACCCGUGGCUCCCUAGAUCCGAACAUCUAGGAAGAAGUUUAAGAGUAACUGUCCAGCGCAAAGCAGUACCAACCAGAUGGGCUUCCUCACCCAUCGCUCCAGCAAGCUGCCUGUGUCUGUCUCAGUGAUCGUCCGAGCACGUACUGUGAACCAGGGAGAGACAUGCACUCACCUUUUGUUCUCAGAGAUUAAAAAGAUUUUUAAAACCUUAAGCCAAAAAGACACAGCAAGACAAGCAGCUUUAAGAAACGUGACCUAUACAAUGACGGCAGAGGAGCCAGAACUUCGCUCUGAGCAUUCCAUGAGAAAUCUUAUCUAUUUGUUUUUGGGUUUUUUUUUUUUUUUUAGCACAAGAUUCUCACUCUGUCACCUUUAGAGUGCCUUUAGAGCGCUGUCUUGUCAUAGCUCACAGCAACUUCAAACUCUUGGGCUCAAAGCGAUCCUCUUGCCUCAGCCUUCCAAGUAGCUGGGACUAUAGGUGCCACCCACCAUGCCCAGCUAGUUUUUAACUAAAACCAUUCUCAAAGCUGCUGUGGACAUUUUCAGUACUAGGCAUGAACUUGGGGCAUAUUUGUCGUUUUCAAGGACACAGCUUAACUGGGUGAAUUGUAUUGAGGAUAAGUUAUUUAAAUAAAACGCUAUGUGUCAUGACUUAGGUGGGUUCUUGAUUGGCACAAUGUAACACAGAUUUUGCAUAACCAAGUCUAUCUCAGGGUUCUUGUUAGAAGAUGCGAACUGGGUAUUUUUAAUCAAUGGCAGCUGGGGCUCAGUGCCUAAAGCUCAACGGCUAAGGUGCCAGCCACACACACCAGAGCUAGCAGGUUCAAAUCCAGCCUGGGCCUGCCAAACAACAAUGACAACUAAAACCAAAAAAUAGUGAGUGUUGUGGCAGGCACCUGUAGUCCCAGCUACUUUGGAGGCUGAGGCAAGAGAAUCGCAUAAGCCCAAGAGUUUGAGGUUGCUGUGAGCUGUGAUACCACGGCACUCUACUGAGGGUGACAUAGUGAGACUCUGUCUCAAAAAAAAAAAAAAAUCAAUGGUAGCUGGUAUGGAGAGUUCGGGAGUUCAGAUCUGCCCCUGCCAUCUGCCCACUGAACAACCUCCGGUUGAUUAACCAUGUCUAGACUUGUGUACCCGGCUCCGAACAGACAACAGUCACAGCACCUCACUGGCAGGCGGGUUGUAAAAAUUAAAUGAGAUAUUGCUGGUUAAUAACGGCCCACAGUCAGUACUGCCCUUUGCCCCA